rnacentral:rRNA from 1 species
GAUGAACGCUGGCGGCGUGCCUAAUACAUGCAAGUCGAGCGAACGGCCGAGAAGCUUGCUUCUCUGAUGUUAGCGGCGGACGGGUGAGUAACACGUGGAUAACCUACCUAUAAGACUGGGAUAACUUCGGGAAACCGUAGCUAAUACCGGAUACUAUUUUGAACCGCAUGGUUCAAAAGUGAAAGACGGUCCUGCUGUCACUUAUAGAUGGAUCCGCGCUGCAUUAGCUAGUUGGUAAGGUAACGGCUUACCAAGGCAACGAUGCAUAGCCGACCUGAGAGGGUGAUCGGCCACACUGGAACUUAGACACGGUCCAGAGUCCUGAGGGAGGCAGCAGUAGGGAAUCUGCCGCAAUAGGCGGAAGCCUGACGGAGCAACGCCGCGUGAGUGAUGGAGGUCUUCGGAUCGUAAAACUCUGUUAUUAGGUAAGAACAUAUGUUUAAGUAACUGUGCACAACUUGACGGUACCUAAUCAGAAAGCCACGGCUAACUACGUG